ensembl:lncRNA
GUUACCAUGUUGGAGCCCUGUUAUACGCAGUGGAGGAAGGCGACCCCAUGCGAGAAUCGGUCACAUGCACGAUGGAACGGAGCAGCUGGCUGAUGCUUGCACAUGUAAAAAAGAUACCAGCAGCCCCUGUAGCCAACAUCGAUUUCUUAUCUGCAAGGGCUAAGAAGAGGAGGAUGGACCAGGCAGGUUGUACAAUGGAGCAGGCAACAUCAUCUCUGUCUUGGCCUCCCAUUGCUUUGUGCCCAAGUCAACAACAAAAGCACUGCCACCCUCCAUCAUGGGCUGUGCAGUUGACUCCACAACUGUGGACGACCUAUGCACAAUGACUGAAAGCCAAAUAGAGACAGUGGAGGAGGAGACAAGAAGCCAGUCUAAAUCCAAGAUCUGGUUCAGACAGCGAGCCGGACAAAUCAUUACCUCCUGCACACUGAUCCUAACAACCCUUCCAAUAGUCUUUCAAACAGCAUCAGC